AUUCUUUCCUGGCAGGUGAUCACAAAGGUGGUUUACCCAGGGUGAGAUUUAUCCGCUGCACUCUGAAUGUGCUGACCCCUGUAAUUUUCCCAAAUGUGGAAAACUCAACUGCAUAAUUUGUGGUAGUAGGGGAUUAAUAUGCCAAAAACAGUAACAGGUCUCAC